AGGGAGACAGUGUGACUUUCACUUCUCAUUUCCCCCAUUUGGGUGGAGCCCUCCCUGGGUGAGUUCACUCACUUCCUGCUCAGGGAUCAGCAGCCACGGCAGACCCAGGCUGGGGAGACUGGAAGAAUCAGAGGUCCAGGCAGUGCCCAGGGCAGGACGAUGGCCAGUGGGGGCAGCGACCUCAGCACCAGUGGCUGAACCACUAUAUUCUCCUACCACUAGCUGAUGUGCUAUCUCUCCACACCCAGACUUCACAGAGGUGCUAGAUCAGUGGUUCUCAACCUUCCUAAUGCCGCCAGCCUUUAAUACAGUUCCUCAUGUUGUGGUGACCCCAACCAUAAAAUUACUUUCGUUGCUAUUUCAUAACUGUAAUUUUGCUACUGUUAUGAAUCAUAAUGUAAAUAUCUGAUAUGCAGGAUGUAUUUUCAUUGUUACAAAUUGAAUAUAAUUAAAGCAUAGUGAUUAAUCACGAAAACAAUAUGUAAUUAUAUAUGUGUCUUCUGAUGGUCUUAGGCGACCCCGUGAAAGGGUCAUUCAACCCCCAAAGGGGUCAUGACCCACAGGUUGAGAACCACUGUGCUAGAUAAAGGGAUGCAUCCUAUUCAUUUGCAUUCUCAGAAUACAUGGGCAGUUGAACAUGGUUUUGUGUUUCUUGACCAUUUAAAUUGCCUGGUCUCUCAUUGCUGGUUUAUUUUUGACCAAUGUAAUCAGUUGAGGUGAUUAUCCUUUCUGUAAUGAUACGGGAGAGUUUGCUAUGUAGUUUGAAAUUUAUAAAUAAACUUCUUUAUAAAUAUA